CCAUCUUACCCCACGGUACUAUGUUAUAUAGUAGGGUGGGGGAAGAUGGGACAC
rnacentral:miRNA from 1 species